rnacentral:rRNA from 1 species
GGGGAAUUUUGGACAAUGGGCGCAAGCCUGAUCCAGCCAUGCCGCGUGAGUGAAGAAGGCCUUCGGGUUGUAAAGCUCUUUCGGCUGGGAAGAAAUCGCAUCUCCUAAUACGGGGUGUGGAUGACGGUACCAGCAUAAGAAGCACCGGCUAACUACGUGCCAGCAGCCGCGGUAAUACGUAGGGUGCGAGCGUUAAUCGGAAUUACUGGGCGUAAAGCGUGCGCAGGCGGUUUCGUAAGACAGACGUGAAAUCCCCGGGCUCAACCUGGGAACUGCGUUUGUGACUGCGAGGCUAGAGUAUGGCAGAGGGGGGUGGAAUUCCACGUGUAGCAGUGAAAUGCGUAGAGAUGUGGAGGAACACCGAUGGCGAAGGCAGCCCCCUGGGCCAAUACUGACGCUCAUGCACGAAAGCGUGGGGAGCAAAC